ACGCUCGACACCUACGGGGGCAGCAGUCGGGAAUAUUGCGCAAUGGAGGAAACUCUGACGCAGUGACGCCGCGUAUAGGAAGAAGGUUUUCGGAUUGUAAACUAUUGUCGUUAGGGAAGAGAAAGGACAGUACCUAAGGAGGAAGCUCCGGCUAACUACGUGCCCGCAGCCGCGGUAAUCUGAGCGGGCUGGCAAGGC
rnacentral:rRNA from 1 species